rnacentral:rRNA from 1 species
UGGGGAAUAUUGGACAAUGGGGGCAAGCCUGAUCCAGCCAUGCCGCGUGAGUGACGAAGGCCUUAGGGUUGUAAAGCUCUUUCGGCGGGGAAGAUAAUGACGGUACCCGCAGAAGAAGCCCCGGCUAACUCUGUGCCAGCAGCCGCGGUAAUACAGAGGGGGCAAGCGUUGUUCGGAAUCACUGGGCGUAAAGCGCACGUAGGUGGAUAGUUAAGUUCGGGGUGAAAUCCCAGGGCUCAACCCUGGAACUGCCUCGGAUACUGGCUAUCUCGAGUCCGGAAGAGGUGAGUGGAAUUCCUAGUGUAGAGGUGAAAUUCGUAGAUAUUAGGAAGAACACCGGUGGCGAAGGCGGCUCACUGGUCCGGUACUGACACUGAGGUGCGAAAGCGUGGGGAGCAAACAGGAUUAGAUACCCACGUAUUCCCUGAGCGGGCUGGCAAGGCGCAU